AACGAACGCUGGCGGCAUGCCUAACACAUGCAAGUCGAACGAGACCUUCGGGUCUAGUGGCGCACGUGUGCGUAACGCGUGGGAACCUGCCCUUAGGUUCGGAAUAACUCCCCGAAAGGGGUGCUAAUACCGGAUAAUGUCUUCGGACCAAGGAUUUAUCGCCUUUGGAUGGGCCCGCGUUGGAUUAGCUAGUUGGUAGGGUAAAAGCCUACCAAGGCGACGAUCCAUAGCUGGUCUGAGAGGAUGAUCAGCCACACUGGGACUGAGACACGGCCCAGACUCCUACGGGAGGCAGAAGUGGGGAAUAUUGGACAAUGGGCGAAAGCCUGACCCAGCAAUGCCGCGUGAGUGAUGAAGGCCUUAGGGUUGUAAAGCUCUUUUACCCGGGAUGAUAAUGACAGUACCGGGAGAAUAAGCUCCGGCUAACUCCGUG
rnacentral:rRNA from 1 species